UUCCAGCUCCAAUAGCGUAUAUUAAAGUUGUUGCGGUUAAAAAGCUCGUAGUCGAAUCUGUGUCCCGCGUCGCCGGUUCAUCGUCCGCGGUGUUAACUGGCGUUCCGCGGGACGUCCUGCCGGUGGGCUUAGCUCGCAAGGGCGGCCCAACUCAAUCCCGCCGCGGUGCUCUUCACUGAGUGUCGAGGUGGGCCGGCACGUUUACUUUGAACAAAUUAGAGUGCUUAAAGCAGGCUAAAACUUCGCCUGAAUACUGUGUGCAUGGAAUAAUGGAAUAGGACCUCGGUUCUAUUUUGUUGGUUUUCGGAACCCCGAGGUAAUGAUUAAUAGGAACGGAUGG
rnacentral:rRNA from 3 species